rfam:Oryza glumipatula chromosome 4, whole genome shotgun sequence.
AAUAGAUGACGUCGUUGACUUUUUCUCACAUGUUUGACCAUUCGUCUUAUUGAAAAAAUUUACGUAAUUAUAAUUUAUUUUGUUAUGAGUUGUUUUAUCACUUAUAGUACUUUAUGUGUGAUUUAUAUCUUAUAUAUUUGCAAAAAAAAAAUUGAAUAAGACGAAUGGUCAAACAUGUGAGAAAAAGUCAACGGCGUCAUCUACU